GAUGAACGCUGGCGGCGUGCCUAAUACAUGCAAGUCGAGCGAACAGACGAGGAGCUUGCUCCUCUGACGUUAGCGGCGGACGGGUGAGUAACACGUGGAUAACCUACCUAUAAGACUGGGAUAACUUCGGGAAACCGGAGCUAAUACCGGAUAAUAUAUUGAACCGCAUGGUUCAAUAGUGAAAGACGGUUUUGCUGUCACUUAUAGAUGGAUCCGCGCCGCAUUAGCUAGUUGGUAAGGUAACGGCUUACCAAGGCGACGAUGCGUAGCCGACCUGAGAGGGUGAUCGGCCACACUGGAACUGAGACACGGUCCAGGCGCCUACGGGAGGCAGCAGUAGGGAAUCGUCCGCAAUGGGCGAAAGCCUGACGGAGCAACGCCGCGUGAGUGAUGAAGGUCUUCGGAUCGUAAAACUCUGUUAUUAGGGAAGAACAAAUGUGUAAGUAACUAUGCACGUCUUGACGGUACCUAAUCAGAAAGCCACGGCUAACUACGUG
rnacentral:rRNA from 1 species